UACGGGGGGGGCAAGCGUUGUUCGGAAUUACUGGGCGUAAAGGGCUCGUAGGCGGCCAACUAAGUCAGACGUGAAAUCCCUCGGCUUAACCGGGGAACUGCGUCUGAUACUGGAUGGCUUGAAUCCGGGAGAGGGAUGCGGAAUUCCUGGUGUAGCGGUGAAAUGCGUAGAUAUCUGGAGGAACACCGGUGGCGAAGGCGGCAUCCUGGACCGGCAUUGACGCUGAGGAGCGAAAGCCAGGGGAGCAAACGGG
rnacentral:rRNA from 1 species